rnacentral:lncRNA from 1 species
AAGCUGCCCCACUGGAGACUCAGCCAGCAGCCAGCACCAGCCACACAGCACACGAGUGAAGAAGCCUUCAGAAGAUUCCAGGCCCAGCCUCUGAGCCAACCCUGCUGACGCCAGCUGGAGUAGAGCUGAGCUGUCUCCACCAGGCCUGCCCAAAUUGCACAUUCACGCACGCAAUAAGUGUCGCUAUUUUAGGUCAUGACGUCGUGGGGUAGUGUGUUGUGCAGCAAGAGAUAACUGGAAUAAUAACCUUGAAUCCCAGCCCUGCCCUUACCAGCUGUGUGGGCUUGACACAGUUGCUGAACCUCUCUGAGUCUUUGUCUUCAACUGUGGAAUAAAAAUAAGGAUACCCAUUAUGAAGUGUCCUCAGGAGAAAUCCUCGUAACACACAGAAGUGCCAACUCCCUUGUGAAGGGUCGCACAGACAGCGAGCAGACACAUGGAAGCUGGAGCCUGAGUUACCCAGGGACGUAGAGAUGCGGCUCCCGGCCCGUCUGCAGAAGCGUGGAGAGGAGCUUGCUCGUCCGCAGCCGAAGGGGAGUGGGACUGAGGUAGGCUGGCCCGGAGGCUUCCUGCUUUAUCACUGCCCUGUGGGGUCUUUCCCUCUGGCCCUGCUUCUUACUGCAACCACACAACCGAGCCCGGACAUGUGGCCUCAUCAGCCGCCUGGGACUUUAACUCCUGCGCGGAGUGACUUGAGGUUGGGAGGACUGGUGGAGUCGCUCCUUCCACAGGCAGGGCCCCGACAAUCACGUAGCUGCCGGUUUGAUUCCUGCCUGACCCCCAGCCUGGCUCUCUAGCCUUUAUGUCAAUUCUCUGAUCCCUAAUAAUCUCCCAAUAAAUCCUCCUUUUACGCGAGUACCAAAGAACCUAAUGGAGAACCAGAUGAAGAGGGGAUGGAUCAGCUAGCUGCUGCUGUGGAACAAAGCACCCCCCAAAAUCUGUGGAUUCCAACAAGCAAUUAUUUCUCACAAUUCUGUGGGUCUACUGGGAAGCUCUUCUUCUGGACUAGCCCAUCUGGGGCUGGAAGGUCUAGCAUGGCCUCCUGUGCUGUCUGGCCGUCUCUGCUGGGAUGGCCCAUCUCUAUCUCACGCGGACUCCCGUCCUCCGGUGGGCCAGCUCGGCUCAUUCACAUGGUGGUCUCAAAGUCCCAAACAGCACGUGCUUUGCAAGCCUCUGCCUGGGUCCCAUUGACCAGAGCAAGUCGCACGGCUGGGCCCCGAGUCAAGGUGAG